rnacentral:rRNA from 1 species
GAUUUCUGGGCAUCAGUUUCUAGCCGGCCACGGUUUCGUGUGUUAGUGCUUGAAACUUUGUCCAUCCUUCCAAUCACUGUCUUAUUGGUCUUCAUUGAUUUGAUAAGUAGUAUUGGAUCUUUUACUUUGAAAAAAUUAGAGUGUUUCAAGCAGGCUUUAUGCUAUGAAUACAUUAGCAUGGAAUAAUAAUUUAGGACUUCGGUUCUAUUUUGUUGGUUUCUAGGACUGAAGUAAUGAUUGAUAGGGACAGUUGGGGGUGCUAGUAUUCAGCGGCCAGAGGUGAAAUUCUCGGAUUCGCUGAAGACUAACUUAUGCGAAAGCAUU